UUUAAUGUGGCAGAAAAGUGCAAUGGAUUUAAGCCCCAUAUAUAAAGGCAAUGUGCCCCUUUCAUUAAAA
rnacentral:tRNA from 1 species